AUUGAACGCUAGCGGGAUGCUUUACACAUGCAAGUCGAACGGCAGCGCGAGAGAGCUUGCUCUCUUGGCGGCGAGUGGCGAACGGGUGAGUAAUGUAUCGGAACGUGCCCAGUAGCGGGGGAUAACCACUCGAAAGAGUGGCUAAUACCGCAUACGCCCUACGGGGAAAGGGGGGGAUCGCAAGACCUCUCACUAUUGGAGCGGCCGAUAUCGGAUUAGCUAGUUGGUGGGGUAAAGGCCUACCAAGGCAACGAUUCGUAGCUGGUUUGAGAGGACGACCAGCCACACUGGGACUGAGACACGGCCCAGACUCCUACGGGAGGCAGCAGUGGGGAAUUUUGGACAAUGGGGGGAACCCUGAUCCAGCCAUCCCGCGUGUAUGAUGAAGGCCUUCGGGUUGUAAAGUACUUUUGACAGGGAAGAAACGGCACCACCUAAUACGUGGUGUUACUGACGGUACCUGUAGAAUAAGCACCGGCUAACUACGUGCCAGCAGCCGCGGUAAUACGUAGGGUGCAAGCGUUAAUCGGAAUUACUGGGCGUAAAGGGUACGCAGGCGGCUAGGAAAGAAGGAUGUGAAAUCCCAGGGCUCAACCUUGGAACUGCAUUCUUAACUGUCUAGCUAGAGUAUGUCAGAGGGGGGUAGAAUUCCACGUGUAGCAGUGAAAUGCGUAGAGAUGUGGAGGAAUACCGAUGGCGAAGGCAGCCCCCUGGGAUAAUACUGACGCUCAGGUACG
rnacentral:rRNA from 1 species